UCUUAGCGGCGGACGGGUGAGUAACGUGUGGGUAACCUGCCUUUUACUGUGGAAUAAUCGUUGGAAACGACGACUAAUACCGCAUACGAUUUUCUGAAGGCAUCUUCGGAAAAAGAAAGGAAAUAUUCGGUAAAAGAUGGGCCCGCAUCUGAUUAGCUAGUUGGUGAGAUAAUAGCCCACCAAGGCAACGAUCAGUAGCCGACCUGAGAGGGUGACCGGCCACAUUGGGACUGAGACACGGCCCAAACUCCUACGGGAGGCAGCAG
rnacentral:rRNA from 1 species